GUGAAUCGCCUUCAUCUUCUUCAUCUUCUCCACCUUGAGGGCAAGCUUGAGAGGUAAACGAACGCGUUGGCGAAGACGGUUCGGCGAUUCGUCAAGCCGGUACGAAGUUAUUAAAGGAAUGGACGUUUAGGCUUUGUUUUCGCCUGGAGGGCCGAGGCGACAUCGUAAAAUCCUGGAAACGGAUUUGAAGCACCGUAAUAGCAAAACGAAGACCCUUUUUGCCCGAGGCUGCGAAGCGAUGCGCGGUUGGUGCGUAAUUGCAAGUUCCGACGGAACCGGGCACCGGAUGCUGGGGGAGGCCGAUUGUAAGUGUCGACAAGCAAUCGGAAUGCACUAACAGGUUCGUACGUGAGCGGCGCGGCGGCGCGAGGAAAGGGCAUAGCUCCGUAGAUAGCGCCCUACCCCAGAGACCAGAGCUAGCAGUACCCCGUCGACAUAGCUUAGGGGUUAAGGAAAUAAAAAGAACACAAUGGAACAUAAUGUAUCAAAUUUGUAAUAAGUAAAGGUUGUAAUAACUUAGUUUGCAUUUGGAUAAAAAGAAUAGUAAAUGUGAUGUAAAAUGUAUGCAAUG